GCUUGUCUCAAAGAUUAAGCCAUGCAUGUCUAAGUAUAAGCACCCUUAUACUGCGAAACUGCGUACAGCUCAUUAUAUCAGCAAUUAUUUAUUUGAAGGUCACCUAUUACAUGGAUAACCGUGGUAAUUCUAGAGCUAAUACAUGCGAAAAGUCGGCGCAAGUCGAUGUAUUUAUUAGAUUAAAACCAAUUCGUUCUCGGACGAUAUUGUGGUGAGUCAUAAUAACUUAUCGGAUCGCAGUGGCUUUGCCGGCGAUGAAUCAUUCAAGUUUCUGCCCUAUCAGCUUUCGAUGGUAGUGUAUUGGACUACCAUGGCGGUAACGGGUAACGAAGAAUAAGGGUUCGAUUUCGGAGAGGGAGCCUGAGAGAUGGCUACCACAUCCAAGGAAGGCAGCAGG
rnacentral:rRNA from 1 species